GAAAUUGGACUCAGAGCUCAGGAUGAACGAACCAAGAGAAACAAAACCCUUAGCAAAUCGCGGAAGUGAGGUACUGCGGGGAACGAUGGACACGAGUAGUGGCGAGGAAUUUCACAAUAAUAAUGUUCACUUAGUUUAUGCUUAAUGUUUUAAUAGUUUAAUUAAAGACUUAUAGUAAGUUAUGUACUUUUAUUUUGGGUUAUAAAAAGGACUAUUAUAUUA